ensembl:lncRNA
UGGUGAGUCAAUACAAUAUGUGCCAUGGUAAUGUAUUGAACAGCUUGUCAGUGUCAUAUCCUUCAUAUUUUAGCAAACAAGAAAAGGGCUGACAUGGCGAAGACGGGGGGGGGGACCCAGAGGUCCAGAGUUAACCCCUGCUGAGGAGCUGGCCCUGGCCAAUAACAGGGGUAGGCCCAUUAUGCAGGGCAUAGCUGGGGGCAGCUCCUCUGGAGAGGUGGUGGCAGGAGAGAAUCCCUAUGUCCAAGUAGUAGAAGGUUCACUCACACUCCUGCAGCCACCUACCAAUGUGUUGGGAGAGGAGCCCACUGCUGAUGAGGUCGGUCUAGACGAUGAGGACACACUUUCCGCCUUCUCAAGCGAUUUGGCAAAUCCUGCUGGACCACGGCCUGAUCCGCCGGAGCCUGGCCCCUCUCGCUCUUCGGGAACUGGGGAUGGGGACACUGACAAUGAAGAUGUGCGUACGCUUUAUAAGCACUACUGAGCUCAGCGAAGCUUGAUGUGGAG